rnacentral:lncRNA from 1 species
UAGGUCCACAGUUCGGGUCGGACACCCUAACGCACCCUAACAGAAAAGUUAAUUAAAAAUGUUCUACGGCAAUAAUUUUGUCCGCACUAGGUGCAAAAGGAAGCUUAGUAGCUGAUGUUUACUUGAUAAAAAAUUCAGGGUGUUGUUCGGCUUAAUUUUUAUUUUAAACUAGGUCCAAAGUUUGGGUCGGACAUCCUAUCCCACCCUUACAGAAAAGGUAAUACAAAUUAUUCUACGGCAAUACUUUUGACUGCCCUAUGUGCAAAGGGAAGCUGGUAGCUGAUGUCUACUUGGUAAAAAAUCCAGGGUGUUGUCAGGCUUAUUUUUUUUGUUUACUAGGUCAAAGUUGGGUUCGGACACCCUAUCCCACCCUUACAGAAAAGUUAAUAAAAAUGUUCUAUGGCAACACUUUUGUCUGCACUAGUUACAAAGGUAUGCAAAGCGGCUGAAGGUCUACUUGAGAAAAAAUCCAAGGUGUUGUUCGGCUUAGUUAUGUUUUUAAGUUGGUCCACAGUUGGGGUCUGACACAGAAAAGUUAAUUAAUAAUGUUCUACGGCAAUACUUGUGUCUGCACUACGUGCAAAGGGAAGCUAAGUAGCUCAGGUAUACUUGAGAAAAAAUCCAGGGUGUUUUUUCGGCUUAGUUUUGUUUUUAAGUAGGUCCACAGUUGGGGUCGGACACCCUACCCCACCCUUACAGAACAGUCAAUAAAAAUAUGUUGUACGUCAAAAUUUUUGUCCGCACUUGGUGGAAAUGGAGCUGGAUAGCUGAGGUCAACAUGAGAAAAAAUCCAGGUUGUUGUUCGGCUUAGUUUUGUUUUUAAGUAGGUCCACAGUUGGGGUCGGACACCCUACCCCACCCUUACAGAAAAGUUAAUAAAAAAUGUUUUACGCAUAAAUUGUGUCUGCACUAGGUGCAAAGCGAAGCUGGGUAGCUGAGGUCAACAUGAGAAAAAUUCCAGGGUGUUGUGCGGCUUAGUUUUGUUUUUAAGUAGGUCCAACAGUUGGGGUCGGACACCCUACCCCACCCUUUACAGAAAAGACAAUAAAAAAUGUUCUACAGCAAUAUUUUUGUCUGCACCUAUAGGUGUAAAAGGAAGCUUGGUAGCUGAAGUCUACUUGAGAAAAAAUCCAGGGUGUUCUUCGGCUUAGUUUAUUUUUUCUAAAGUAGGUCCAAAGUUAGGGUCGGACAUCCUACCCCACCCUUCUUGAACAGUUAACAACAAAUGUUCUACGACAAUACUUUUGUCCGCACUAGGUGCAAAGGGAAGCUUUAUAGCUGUGGUCUACUUGCGAAAAAAUCCAGGAUGUUGUUUGGAUUGGUUUUAUUCAAAGUAGUUCCAAAGUUGGGGUCGGACAUCCUAUCCCACCCUUUCAGGAAAGUUAAUAAAAAAAAUGUUCUUCGGCAAUACGUUUUGUCAGUACUAAAUGCAAAGGGAAGCUUGUAGCUGCGGUCUACUUGAGAAAAAUCCAGGGUCUUGUUCGGCUUAGUUUUAUUCAAAGUAGGUUCAAAGUUGAGGUUCGGACACCCUACUCCACUCUUACAGAAAAGUUAAUGAAAAAUGUUCUACGGCAAUACUUUUGUC